CACGUAGGAGGCGAGCGUUAUUCGGAUUUACUGGGCGUAAAGCGCGUGCAGGCGGUUUAGAAAGUUGGAUGUGAAAGCUCCUGGCUUAACUGGGAGAGGUCGUUCAAUACUUCUAGACUCGAGUAUGGGAGAGGGAGGUGGAAUUCCGGGUGUAGUGGUGAAAUGCGUAGAUAUCCGGAGGAACACCAGUGGCGAAAGCGGCCUCCUGGUCCAUUACUGACGCUCAGACGCGAAAGCUAGGGUAGCAAACGGGAUUAGAGACCCCGGUAGUCCUAGCUGUAAACGAUGUGAACUUGGCGUUGGUGGGUUUAAAUCCAUCAGUGCCGGAGCUAACGCGUUAAGUUCACCGCCUGGGGACUACGGCCGCAAGGUUAAA
rnacentral:rRNA from 1 species